GACGAACGCUGGCGGCGCGCCUAACACAUGCAAGUCGAGCGAAGCGGCGGACGGGUGAGCAACACGUGAGUAACCUGCCUUAGACAUUGGGAUAGCCUCGGGAAACCGGGAUUAAUACCAAAUGGUCUAAGAUGGACUCGCGUCCCGUUAGCUAGUUGGUGAGGUAACGGCCCACCAAGGCGACGAUGGGUAGCCGGCGUGAGAGGGAGGACGGCCACAUCUUAGCUGGGCAGCAGUCCAGACUCUACGCGAGGCAGCAGUGGGGGAUAUUGCACAAUGGAGGGAACGCUGAUGGCGCGACGCCUCGUGAACAAAGAAGGCUUUCGAGUCGUAAAGGUCUUUUAUAUGGGAAGCGGUACCAUAAGAAAAAGCCCCGGCUAACUACGUGCCAGCAGCCGCGGUAAUAC
rnacentral:rRNA from 1 species